rnacentral:lncRNA from 1 species
CUUUUCUUUUGUUAUCCUGAAAGUAGGUCUUAAGUUCUGCAUCAGGUUAAACAUUAAAAGCUCCUCUUCUUGUAACCACUGAAAAAUGAGCUGUCACUGAUUUAGUAAUACCUUUUUUGUCUUUGCUUCUUGUGUUGAAACAGAACAGUCAGGUUUUGGUGUAUAUUUGUCUUUUGCAGGAAGAAUCCCAUUCACUUCCAGCAGUUCAGUCACCCUAAUGAUGACGACUAUCAUGACAUGGAGAUGAUACUCAGGAUAACAAUGACAACCGGCCCGAGUGUCCAUAUGGAACAGCUUGUUAUAGGAAGAACCCACAGCACAAGCUGGAAUACAAGCACACUGCGCCUCCAGGAACUGAAAGAGGAACCCGACAACAAACUUCAAGAAAUGGAAAAAGGGCUGUGGAGAAAGACAGUGCCAGUGAUGGUGAAGCCAAUGAGUAUGACCUCAAUGACAGCUUUAUAGAUGAUGAGGAAGAGGAGUGUGAAGCUACUGAUGAGGACUCGGACUGGGAACCAAGUUCAGAAGAAAAGGACAAUGAGGAUGUUGAAACACUUGUGCAAGAAGCAGGUAGAUUUGUUAAGACCAAAAAAUAGCUGCUUGAAACAACGCUACGAGUUUCCAGUGUGGUUCUGUUAAAACAUGGUUGCACAGAGGAGAGGAAUUUUUUGAAAACUUUUUCUCAGUGAUGUAGAAGCUACAGGAAGAUUUUAGUGGGGCCGAGGGAUUCAGCAAUACCUUUUUGUCCAUAUGUAUUAUUUUGGGGGUGGUGUGGUGCUUUUUUUAUGAAGUGGUGGACCCACAGGAUGGAGCUCUGAAAGUUUUGGUUGUUUUUUUCUUUCUUUUCUUCAUCUAUUUGUUUUACAAUUACUCUGAAAUACAAUUUUAAAGGUUGGUAAAACUUCAUCUCCCUAUGCUUGAAAGAAAUACUGGCAUUAGGAAAGCCUAAACCAUUUUUUAAUGUUCCUUUGAGUUAGUGCAGUUGUAAACUUCAUUAUUCUGCUCCCAACCUUUGUUGGUUCUCUUGAGGUACCGUAAUUAAAUACAGGUUGUCUAAAUCACUCGAGAACAGUAUCUCAAAGUGUAUUGAACCACUUGGUUGACUCAACAACAGUUAUGGUGUAUUUGUUCCAAUUACAGCAGUACCUCUUUCCGUGCCUGUAUAUCCCUGGAAUUGUGUUCAGUUCUCAGCAAAGCUGAAGUCUUGAUGACU